rfam:Myotis lucifugus cont2.32373, whole genome shotgun sequence.
AUCGCUUCUCAGCCUUUUGGCUAUACUAAGAUCAAGUAUAGUAUCUGUUCUUAUCAGUUUAAUAUCUGAUACAAAUACCAAAAAGGAAAAAAAAAAGAAAUAUAAGGGCAGAGACAAAGCUCUU